UUUCAUUUUCUUAAAAAAUACAAUAUAUUCAAAAGUUAAACAAGAGUCGUCUACUAGCAUCUGUUUUCGUGUGUAGUUUCCUAGGACACCAACGACAACAAACAUGACCGCUUUUAAACCGGUGGAUUCGACUCAAGAUGUAGAUCAGGAGAGCCAAGGAGUACUUCCUAUAAAAAUCCUUCCCG